UACGUAGGGGGCAAGCGUUGUCCGGAUUUAUUGGGCGUAAAGCGCUCGCAGGUGGUUCAUUGCGUCGUGCGUGAAAGACCCCGGCUCAACUGGGGAGGGUCGUGCGAAACGGGUGAACUAGAGGCCAGUAGGGGGAUGCGGAAUUCCGGGUGUAGUGGUGGAAUGCGUAGAGAUCCGGAGGAACACCAGCGGCGAAAGCGGCCACCUGGACUGCACCUGACGCUGACACGCGAAAGCUAGGGGAGCGAACGGG
rnacentral:rRNA from 1 species